rnacentral:rRNA from 1 species
GAGGCAGCAGUGGGGAAUAUUGGACCCUACGGGAGGCAGCAGUGGGGAAUAUUGGACAAUGGGCGAAAGCCUGAUCCAGCAAUGCCGCGUGAGUGAUGAAGGCCUUAGGGUUGUAAAGCUCUUUUACCCGGGAUGAUAAUGACAGUACUGGGAGAAUAAGCCCCGGCUAACUCCGUG